rnacentral:tRNA from 1 species
GGUUCCUUAGCUCAGUUGGGAGAGCGUCUGUCUUACAUACAGAUGGUCGCACGUUCGAGUCGUGCAGGAAUCACCA